ACGGAAGGCAGCAGUGGGGAAUAUUGGGCAAUGGGCGAAAGCCUGACCCAGCAACGCCGCGUGAAGGAAGAAGGUCUUCGGAUUGUAAACUUCUUUUAUGAGGGACGAAGGACGUGACGGUACCUCAUGAAUAAGCCACGGCUAACUACGUGCCAGCAGCCGCGGUAAUACGUAGGUGGCGAGCGUUAUCCGGAUUUACUGGGUGUAAAGGGCGCGUAGGCGGGGAUGCAAGUCAGGUGUGAAAUCUAUGGGCUUAACCUCUGAGCUGCAUUUGAAACUGUUAUUCUUGAGUAUCGGAGAGGCAGGCGGAAUUCCUAGUGUAGCGGUGAAAUGCGUAGAUAUUAGGAAGAACACCAGUGGCGAAGGCGGCCUGCUGGACGACAACUGACGCUGAGGCGCGAAAGCGUGGGGAGCAAACAGGAUUAGAUACCCUGGUA
rnacentral:rRNA from 1 species